GGUGGGGUUCCCGAGCGGCCAAAGGGAGCAGACUGUAAAUCUGCCGUCAUCGACUUCGGAAGGUUCGAAUCCUUCCCCCCACCACCA
rnacentral:tRNA from 1 species